rnacentral:tRNA from 1 species
GAGGGUGUAGCUCAGUGGCCGAGCUCAUGCUUAGCAGGCACGAGGUCCUGGGUUCAAUCCCCAGUACCUCCA